rnacentral:rRNA from 1 species
UACUCCUACGGGAGGCAGCAGUGGGGAAUUUUGGACAAUGGGCGAAAGCCUGAUCCAGCAAUGCCGCGUGAGUGAAGAAGGCCUUCGGGUUGUAAAGCUCUUUUGUCAGGGAAGAAACGGUGAAAGCUAAUAUCUUUUGCUAAUGACGGUACCUGAAGAAUAAGCACCGGCUAACUACGUGCCAGCAGCCGCGGUAAUACGUAGGGUGCAAGCGUUAAUCGGAAUUACUGGGCGUAAAGCGUGCGCAGGCGGUUUUGUAAGUCUGAUGUGAAAUCCCCGGGCUCAACCUGGGAAUUGCAUUGGAGACUGCAAGGCUAGAAUCUGGCAGAGGGGGGUAGAAUUCCACGUGUAGCAGUGAAAUGCGUAGAUAUGUGGAGGAACACCGAUGGCGAAGGCAGCCCCCUGGGUCAAGAUUGACGCUCAUGCACGAAAGCGUGGGGAGCAAACAGGAUUAGAAACCCCGGUAGUCCCAUG